CCCGCUUCGGUUAAAGAUGAAGGAAGUUCCCUUGCUGAACUUUGUUGUGAUUCUCUCAAGGAGUUCAACCCGAUGUUCGUGUUUCAGUUGAAAGAGGUGACUUGACAACAGCUUGAUGACGAAAUUUUUGGACAAGUUUGAUAUUGUAGUUGUUAGUUGUUGCCCAUUUAACAAUAAAGUACCGAAUCUGUCUUUUUUAUGGAAUUGAACUAGCAGAACUUAAUUAUGAGAAUUUAUUUGUUACA